rnacentral:rRNA from 1 species
AACGAACGCUGGCGGCAUGCCUAACACAUGCAAGUCGAACGAGACCUUCGGGUCUAGUGGCGCACGGGUGCGUAACGCGUGGGAACCUGCCCUUAGGUUCGGAAUAACUCCCCGAAAGGGGUGCUAAUACCGGAUAAUGUCUUCGGACCAAAGAUUUAUCGCCUUUGGAUGGGCCCGCGUUGGAUUAGCUAGUUGGUAGGGUAAAAGCCUACCAAGGCGACGAUCCAUAGCUGGUCUGAGAGGAUGCUCAGCCACACUGGGACUGAGACACGGCCCAGACUCCUACGGGAGGCAGCAGUGGGGAAUAUUGGACGCUGGGCGAAAGCCUGAUCCAGCAAUGCCGCGUGAGUGAUGAAGGCCUUAGGGUUGUAAAGCUCUUUUACCCGGGAUGAUAAUGACAGUACCGGGAGAAUAAGCUCCGGCUAACUCCGUG